GCACCCUUGUCAUUAGUUGCUACCAAAGAGCACUCUAAUGAGACUGCCGGUGACAAACCGAGAGGAAGGUGGGGAUGACGUCAAGUCCUCAUGGCCCUUAUGCGUAGGGCUUCGCACGUCAUACAAUGGUACGGGACAGAGGGUCGCCAACCCGCGAGGGGGAGCUAAUCUCAUAUACCCGAUCGUAGUCCGGAUCGCAGUCUGCAACUCGACUGCGUGAAGUCGGAAUCGCUAGUAAUCGCGGAUCAGAAUGCCGCGGUGAAUACGUUCCCGGGUCUUGUACA
rnacentral:rRNA from 1 species